rnacentral:rRNA from 1 species
GUGAGGAAUAUUGGGCAAUGGGCGAAAGCCUGACCCAGCCACGCCGCGUGAGUGAUGAAGGCCUUCGGGUUGUAAAGCUCUGUGGGGAGGGAAGAAAAAGCGGGAGAGUAACUGCUCUCGUGUUGACGGUACCUCCUUAGCAAGCACCGGCUAACUCUGUGCCAGCAGCCGCGGUAAUACAGAGGGUGCAAACGUUGCUCGGAAUUACUGGGCGUAAAGCGCGUGUAGGCUGACAUGCAAGUCGGGUGUGAAAUCCCAGGGCUCAACCUUGGAACUGCACUCGAAACUGCACGUCUUGAGUACUGGAGAGGGAAGCGGAAUUCCGGGUGUAGAGGUGAAAUUCGUAGAUAUCCGGAGGAACACCAGUGGCGAAGGCGGCUUCCUGGACAGUAACUGACGCUGAGGUGCGAAAGCAUGGGGAGCAAACAGGAUUAGAAACCCCAGUAGUCC